AACGAACGCUGGCGGCAUGCCUAACACAUGCAAGUCGAACGAGACCUUCGGGUCUAGUGGCGUACGGGUGCGUAACGCGUGGGAACCUGCCCUUAGGUUUGGAAUAACUCCCCGAAAGGGGUGCUAAUACCGGAUAAUGUCUUCGGACCAAAGAUUUAUCGCCUUUGGAUGGGCCCGCGUUGGAUUAGCUAGUUGGUAGGGUAAAAGCCUACCAAGGCGACGAUCCAUAGCUGGUCUGAGAGGAUGAUCAGCCACACUGGGACUGAGACACGGCCCAGACUCCUACGGGAGGCAGCAGUGGGGAAUAUUGGACAAUGGGCGAAAGCCUGAUCCAGCAAUGCCGCGUGAGUGAUGAAGGCCUUAGGGUUGUAAAGCUCUUUUACCCUGGAUGAUAAGGACAGUACCGGGAGAAUAAGCUCCGGCUAACUCCGU
rnacentral:rRNA from 1 species